UGGGGAAUAUUGCGCAAUGGCCGAAAGGCUGACGCAGCGACGCCGCGUGGGGGAUGAAGCAUUUCGGUGUGUAAACCCCUGUUGCCCGGGACGAACAAGCAGAUUUUUCUGCUCUGACGGUACCGGGUGAGGAAGCACCGGCUAACUCCGUGCCAGCAGCCGCGGUAAUACGGAGGGUGCGAGCGUUGUCCGGAAUCACUGGGCGUAAAGGGCUCGUAGGCGGUCUGCUAAGCGUGCGGUGAAAGCCCGGGGCUCAACCCCGGGUCUGCCGUGCGAACUGGUGGACUAGAGCACUGUAGAGGCAGGUGGAAUUCCGGGUGCAGCGGUGGAAUGCGUAGAGAUCCGGAAGAACACCGGUGGCGAAGGCGGCCUGCUGGGCAGUAGCUGACGCUGAGGCGCGACAGCGUGGGGAGCAAACA
rnacentral:rRNA from 1 species